rnacentral:rRNA from 1 species
UCCGUAGGCAGCGAGCGUUGUUCGGAAUUACUGGGCGUAAAGAGUGUGUAGGCGGUGCUCUAAGUUCGGUGUGAAAUCUCCUGGCUUAACUGGGAGGGUGCGCCGGAAACUGGAGUGCUUGAGCGUGGGAGAGGAAAGCGGAAUUCCUGGUGUAGCGGUGAAAUGCGUAGAUAUCAGGAGGAACACCUGUGGUGUAGACGGCUUUCUGGACCAUAGCUGACGCUGAGACACGAAAGCGUGGGUAGCAAACAGG